rnacentral:rRNA from 1 species
GUGGGGAAUCUUGCGCAAUGCGCGAAAGCGUGACGCAGCAACGCCGCGUGAGGGAAGACGGCCUUCGGGUUGUAAACCUCUUUCAGGAGGGACGAAGGCCCACCGGUGAACAGCCGAGUGGGUUGACGGUACCUCCAGAAGAAGCCCCGGCUAACUACGUGCCAGCAGCCGCGGUAAUACGUAGGGGGCAAGCGUUGUCCGGAAUCAUUGGGCGUAAAGCGCGCGUAGGCGGCCCUGUAAGUCCGCUGUGAAAGUCAAAGGCUCAACCUUUGAAUGCCGGUGGAUACUGCAGGGCUAGAGUCCGGAAGAGGCGAGUGGAAUUCCUGGUGUAGCGGUGGAAUGCGCAGAUAUCAGGAGGAACACCGAUAGCGAAGGCAGCUCGCUGGGACGGUACUGACGCUGAGGCGCGAAAGCGUGGGGAGCGAACAGGAUUAGAAACCCUGGUAGUCC